UUUGUUCACGAGUUUUUCGGUUAGCACGGGCGACGUCUUCGCCGUCAUUUGUUAACCCUCUGAAUUGAUUUCCUCUCACCCCCUUCUCCCACACUUCCCCCUGUACCAGAAACGGGGCAAAAUUGGGGUCUAACGAGAGGAUGUAUGUCAAAUUCUGCCGCCAGUUCUCGAACGAGUUGACGGUUUCCGUUUUACUGAGGCACCACUGCUUCGGUGCACGCUGCAUUUUGAUCGUUUUGUACACUUCACAGUAGAAAAGUCACUACGACGUAGUCUUCAAUAUGAUUACUUACACUUUUACAGUGUCAGACGAGAGUUCUUGAAACACACGCUGCCACCACGCCAGCAAAUAACACAGACCGCGAGUGUAAACACGAUGUAAUGGUGAGGCGGAAAGAGAACGCAUAACAUAAUAUUAGAACCAAAGCCGGAUCGCCGAAUCCUGAAUACUAAUAACUGGCGCAGGGGCCUGUGGUAUGAUGCAGUUCUAUGGGAACAUUCGGAAGAAAGAAAAACAUGCUGUAAACUAUAAGCAUGUACAGCAAAGAUUUCAAAGUAUGCAGAUGUAUUGACUGUGGGAUGACCACAUCAUUAUAUUUUCUAAUGGAAAAGAUGACUUCCUAUAAACUUUCCUGUCAGAGACACCUAUCCGCCCACCUGAAAUUCUCCUGAGUGUGUCAGGGUGCUAAAAGUGAAGCCUGCACUUGACGGGGAUGAGACUGAUGUGAGACUAGUAUAAUGAGAGUGACAGUCAUUCCUGAAUGUCUUCCAGUGGGGUUAGAGGCUAAAGGAUUGUCACCAAGUUGGCAACAUAUGCCUGCUACCUCUACAAAAAUACUUGCAAGUACCUUCCCUGCCUACUUCUAGAUGUAAUUAAUCUCAUAUUGGUGAUCUAUCCAAACAAAGGAAUGAUGACAUACUGUGUUUGAAAUCUACUUCUUAGGUUAAUAGUGCAUUUCAGUGACUAUUCUAUUCAGUCCAUUUGUACUGGCCUAAGGACUGUCUUUCUGUGACUGUACGAGUUUUAUAGGUUUUUCAUCAUGUCAAAGUGUUUACUGGAUGUAGAAUGUGAGGCUAAAAUGUGAAGUGUUAGGCGAUGAGUAUUAAAAUUUUAUUUGGCUAAUAAAAUGAUGG